rnacentral:rRNA from 1 species
AGCGGCGGACGGGUGAGUAACACGUGGGUAACCUGCCCAAGAGACUGGGAUAACACCUGGAAACAGAUGCUAAUACCGGAUAACAACACUAGACGGAUGUCUAGAGUUUGAAAGAUGGCUCUGCUAUCACUCUUGGAUGGACCUGCGGUGCAUUAGCUAGUUGGUAAGGUAACGGCUUACCAAGGCAAUGAUGCAUAGCCGAGUUGAGAGACUGAUCGGCCACAUUGGGACUGAGACACGGCCCAAACUCCUACGGGAGGCAGCAGUAGGGAAUCUUCCACAAUGGACGAAAGUCUGAUGGAGCAACGCCGCGUGAGAGAAGAAGGGUUUCGGCUCGUAAAGCUCUGUUGGUAGUGAAGAAAGAUAGAGGUAGUAACUGGCCUUUAUUUGACGGUAAUUACUUAGAAAGUCACGGCUAACUACGUGCCAGCAGCCGCCGUAAUACGUAGGUGGCAAGCGUUGUCCGGAUUUAUUGGGCGUAAAGCGAGUGCAGGCGGUUCAAUAAGUCUGAUGUGAAAGCCUUCGGCUCAACCGGAGAAUUGCAUCAGAAACUGUUGAACUUGAGUGCAGAAGAGGAGAGUGGAACUCCAUGUGUAGCGGUGGAAUGCGUAGAUAUAUGGAAGAACACCAGUGGCGAAGGCGGCUCUCUGGUCUGCAACUGACGCUGAGGCUCGAAAGCAUGGGUAGCGAACAGGAUUAGAUACCCUGGUAGUCCAUGCCGUAAACGAUGAGUGCUAAGUGU